CAGUAGCCGCGGUAAUACGAAGGGUGCAAGCGUUAAUCGGAAUUACUGGGCGUAAAGCGUGCGUAGGCGGUUUGUUAAGUCUGUUGUGAAAUCCCCGGGCUCAACCUGGGAAUGGCAAUGGAUACUGGCAAGCUAGAGUGUGUCAGAGGAUGGUGGAAUUCCCGGUGUAGCGGUGAAAUGCGUAGAGAUCGGGAGGAACAUCAGUGGCGAAGGCGGCCAUCUGGGACAACACUGACGCUGAGGCACGAAAGCGUGGGGAGCAAACAGGAUUAGAUACCCGAGUAGUCCCUGUCUCUUAUAC
rnacentral:rRNA from 1 species